AGACAUGAUACCAUUCUCAAAAAGUUGAUGCAAUAUAAGAAAUAUCUUGAUGCUUUAUCAUUUGACAUUUUAACCCAGGGAAGUGCCCCAGCUUUUAUAGGUUUAACUUACUGUGAAAUUUUUUUCUACUUUUCUUUUACUUCAGGAAUCUCCAGGACAGCUUACUAGGAAGUAUAGCUCCUGCUCAACGAUAUUUCUAGAUGACAGCACACUCAGCGAGCCUAGUCGUAGAAAAACAGUAGAAUGUGUGAGCAUAGCAGUAUAUAAUCUCAUAAAGAACAGGGAUCAAACUCAGGACCUUGUACCUGCGAGGC
rnacentral:lncRNA from 1 species